rnacentral:lncRNA from 1 species
AAAAAUAAUAGCAUAAAAUUAAAAAAUAAAAUUAAAAAAAUAAAUAUGGGAGACUUGACCAAACACAUGAAAAACAAAAACCAAAAAAACUCUCAAGAGUAACCUAAAAUACUACAUUAGGAGUUUAAACCAAAAUUGGAAAAAAAAAACAAACAAAAGAAUAUUCUCUAAAGUGAAGCUCCCAAAUAUGAAUGAAUGAAUGCAAAUAAUCUAAUCAGAUUGACCCUCAUUUGCAUAUAACAUCCACAAUAAACUCAGUGAUAAUCACACAUCAUUACUCUUUCUUAGGUUAACCUGCUUUGGAGAUUUUCUUAUUGACUUUUACUCCAGCUUUAAGAGAACAUCUUGGUCUCUAGGAGGUUUGUACUUGUUCCUCUUUUUCACUUAAUGAUUCAUCUUUAUCCAUUUUUUCAGAUCAGAACUUAGAGACCAAUUUGACUUCUUUUAAGAAAAUAUCAGUCAGGUAGAUUUAACUAUAUUUGUUGCCAAGAUGGUCGAACAUGACUCAUAAGUCUCUUGAUCAUCACCUGGAAGAGAUUCAAAACAAUUUUGUAAGGCUAAAUCAUGAGAAACAAUUGUAGAAGUAACCUGUUUGAUUGCAAAAAAUUUAAAAGGUGUACUUGUAUAGACUUAUAGGGCCUAGAUAGUACAUACUACCGACUUGAACAAUUGCCUCUUUUCCCUCAAUCACUCCUCCUUCUUCUUUCGUCUCGUAUUCGCUCCUUGGUGCUCGGUCGCUCCUCCUUCCUCUUCUCGUAUUCGCUCUCUAAUAGCCGAUUGAGAGUUAACCUACAAAAGAUUCUCUGACGAUCAAGUAAGUGCUCUAUAUAAGAGUUAGUGAUAUAUUGACAAAAGCGUACCUUACUCCUUUGUAGAAAGUUUAUUUAUAGUGUUUGGUAAUGGUCUAUUUGAUUCAUGGAUCAUAUAUGGCGCAUAUCUUUAAUAAAUCGGUGUUAGCUGAUUUCUCAGAAUGUCACCCGAAUUUAGUGGGGUGUGUUCGAAUUUAUAGGGAGGUUACUGUGAUUUAUAGGAUGUUUCCUUAUUUGUCAUUUAUUGUCAAUUUGUUCUUUAAUGUAGUUGAUCAUCCGAUCGGUCGGUCAAUUAUGUCGAGUGACGUGGCUCAUUCGACCCCAACCAAUAGCUACAGAUUUGAGUUGAGAAGAUCCUUCAAGAGGUCACAAAUUAUCAUUAGUCCUUUUUUUUUGUAGCAAAUCAUCUUAUUCAUGAAAGCUCUCCAACAAGGGCGUGUCAACAAAAUUAUCAACCUGAGAUCCUGACCCAGCCUCUAUAUCAUCAACUGCAACAAUAGAGUUAUCAACAGUGAAUAAAUCUUCGACAAACUUCUUUAAAUUUUGACCUAUAAGAGAUCCAACUUCCACUUGGCCAGCAACAACUUCAACAGAAGCAUCCUGGUCAAUAAUAGAUCCCUCCAUCCCAACAAUAGAGGAGAAAAAUUUGUAUGAAACAACUAAUUUAUUUGAUUUUUAACCCGCAAUAGCAACAACAUACAAAUCUGCAUUAGAAAACUAUAUUU